UGCUGUGAUGUUGUAAUUUGCGUCUUAUCUGGUGUUCAGCGACAGUUGCCUGCUGUCCACAUGCUGUCACUGUUGAGCUGAAGACUCUUUGAGCCUGAGCA